rnacentral:rRNA from 1 species
UACGUAGGGCGCAAGCGUUGUCCGGAAUUACUGGGCGUAAAGGGCUCGUAGGCGGCCAACUAAGUCAGACGUGAAAUCCCUCGGCUUAACCGGGGAACUGCGUCUGAUACUGGAUGGCUUGAGAUUGGGAGAGGGAUGCGGAAUUCCAGGUGUAGCGGUGAAAUGCGUAGAUAUCUGGAGGAACACCGGUGGCGAAGGCGGCAUCCUGGACCAACACUGACGCUGAGGAGCGAAAGCCAGGGGAGCAAACGGG